rnacentral:rRNA from 1 species
UCGGCGGAGGCGCGCGCGGCCGCGGCGCCGCUGCCGUGCCCGCGGUGCCGGAGCCGGGAGACCAAGUUCUGCUACUUCAACAACUACAACGUGAACCAGCCGCACCACUUCUGCAAGGCCUGCCACCGCUACUGGACGGCUGGCGGCGCGCUCCGCAACGUGCCCAUCGGUGCCGACCGCCGCAAGAACCAACCGCUCGGCCCCAUCGCCACCGUCGCCGGCCACCACCACCGCGCCGCCGCCGGCUUCGUCCUCGGCUUCCCCAGCCCCUCCUCCUCCCCCACCUUCCCACCGCCCAUGUACGCCGACCGGUGGCAGCUCGGGCCGGAUGGCCGGUUCUGA